GUCCUCACUUCAGCAGCACGUAUACUAAAAUUGAAGCAAUACAGAGAAAAUUAGCAUGGAUCCUAUGCAAGGAUGACACACAAAUUCAUGAAGCAUUCCAUAUUUUU